rnacentral:rRNA from 1 species
UACGUAGGGUGCGAGCGUUAAUCGGAAUUACUGGGCGUAAAGCGUGCGCAGGCGGUUAUGCAAGACAGAUGUGGAAUUCCCGGGCUUAACCUGGGAACUGCAUUUGUGACUGCAUGACUAGAGUACGGCAGAGGGGGAUGGAAUUCCGCGUGUAGCAGUGAAAUGCGUAGAUAUGCGGAGGAACACCGAUGGCGAAGGCAAUCCCCUGGGCCUGUACUGACGCUCAUGCACGAAAGCGUGGGGAGCAAACAGG